rnacentral:rRNA from 1 species
UGAAUACGAGACGCUAAGGCGUCGAAGUAGUGUAUGUCAUACUUCCAAGAAAAGCUUGCACUGUCAUAAGUAAAAAAUGCCUGUACCAUAACCGACACAGGUGGGUAGGUAGAGUAUACUAAGGGGCGCGAGAUAACUCUCUCUAAGGAACUCGGCAAAAUAACUCCGUAACUUCGGGAGAAGGAGUACCUUAUUCUAUAAGGUUGCAAUAACAAGAUCCAAGCAACUGUUUAUCAAAAACACAGGUCUCCGCUAAGUCGUAAGACGAUGUAUGGGGGCUGACGCCUGCCCUGUGCCAGAAGGUUAAAGAAGUCGGUUAGCAUUAGCGAAGCUGGUAACUGAAGCCCUGGUGAACGGCGGCCGUAACGAUAACGGUCCUAAGGUAGCGAAAUUCCUUGUCGGGUAAGUUCCGACCCGCACGAAAGGCGUAAUGAUUUGGAUACUGUCUCGGAGAGGGGCUCGGUGAAAUAGACUUGUCUGUGAAGAUGCGGACUACCUGCACCAGGACAGAAAGACCCUAUGAAGCUUUACUGUAACUUGAAAUUGAAAUUGGACUUUAUUCGCGCAGUAUAGGUGGGAGGUGUUGAUUAUAAUCUUGCGGGAUUAUUGGAGCCAUCAGUGAGAUGCCACUCUUGUAAUGUUAGAUUUCUAACUUUGAAUCAUUAUCUGGUCAAAGGACAGUUUCAGGCGGGCAGUUUGACUGGGGCGGUCGCCUCCCAAACGGUAACGGAGGCGUACAAAGGUUUCCUCUGAACGGGUAGAAAUCGUAUCUAGAGUGUAAAGGCAUAAGGAAGCUUGACUGUGAGACCUACAAGUCGAACAGGGACGAAAGUCGGUCUUAGUGAUCUGACGGUACUGAGUGGAAAGGCCGUCACUCAACGGAUAAAAGUUACUCUAGGAUAACAGGCUGAUCUCCCCCAAGAGUUCACAUCGACGGGGAGGUUUGGCACCUCGAUGUCGGCUCAUCGCAUCCUGGGGCGGUAGUACGUCCCAAGGGUUGGGCUGUUCGCCCAUGAAAGCGGUACGCGAGCUGGGUUCAGAACGUCGUGAGACAGUUCGGUCCAUAUCCGGUGUAGGCGUUAGAAUAUUGAGAGGAGCCUUCUUUAGUACGAGAGGACCGAGAAGGACAUACCUCUGGUGUACCAGUUAUCGUGCCAACGGUAAACGCUGGGUAGCUAUGUAUGGAGUGGAUAACCGCUGAAAGCAUCUAAGUGGGAAGCCACCUCAAGAUAAGUA